AGCCAGAAGGAAGGAGGCUGCUCUCUAACAAAUCUAUCAUAGCUGCUGCUGCUCAGAUCUAGGUCAUAAAUGCCAGGACCUCUCGUGCAUACUGGGAGGGAGAGGGAGCUUUUAAAGACAGAGCAUGGUCAUGUUAAAGAAAGAUUUUCAACAGAGACUCCCGCCACAUUCCUUCAUGUAGAUAAAGAAAUGAAGCUAGGACGUGAUGAGAGAAACCAUGGAGGGAGCCCUGUGGACAGAUGUGGUAACAACAGACAUGGAAUAGAGAAUCAGUGGCGUAUUCUGUUUUAUCACCACUAUGAAAGGUCAGGGUUAUCCAGGGCAGAGGUGCCCAAAGAUGCAUCAUGACACAGCUUCAGGUGAUCCUCCGGCACAACUGCAUUCUUUAACUCCACGUGACCUGUGUAAUUUAAGUACAAGCUAUAUAAAUGUAAUGUUUUGAGCUGUAUAUGUUAGACAGAAUAUAGAAAAAAACUAUUUAAAAAAAAAAGAAGCUGCAACAUGUUAAGUUUAAUUCUCAAGAGUACAACGGUGCAUUUCACUGCAAGAUAACCUAGCAGCAUAUAUGCAGUCCACCAUUUACAACUCUAAAAAAAAUGGCAAGCAGUAUUGCAAUCUGACAUGGAUCGCUUUAUUUUUUGAAAAUGAGAAGGGUGCACUAGAGGAGAAGAAAAUGAAAGUCCUGGACCAUCUACAACUACACAAAAUGAACCGGCCGAAAAAAAUAAAGUGGUAAGAACAUAUGACCACACACACACGAAGCUUGGAUUCUCCUUUACCGGACUGGAUGAAUACCUGUUGCAUUAGUGUGUUAUAUUAUAACUUAUUUUAUAUUUUUAUUUGAUUAUUUUCUAACUAGUAGAGAGUAGGGUGGGGUCUUUACUUACACAGCACAUAAAUUCAGACUUCUAAAAAAACUGAAAAUAUAGUGUUCAAAGUUGGACAACUAUUUUGUUUUAAAAUCAACACCACACACUUUUUAAACAAUUUUG